rnacentral:tRNA from 1 species
UCCGUUGUGGUCUAGUGGUACGACUCAAUUUCUCCAUUGUUAGAAGCCGUCUAUUAACAGCACCUAGGUUAGGAUAUCCGCCUCUCACGCGGAUGGCCGGGGUUCGAUUCCCCGCAACGGAA